GCUCCACAGUGACUUUCUCCAGAGUGGAUCCAGCUCUGUUACUGGGUAUCACUGAUGGUGUCCGACUUCUCCAUGCUUGAAGAUUCAGACACGGUGGUGGCUGAUCAACAUUUAGAAGUAGCUGCUAACUCUGUGGCUUUCACAUGUCCGCCCUGGCGUCAAUAAUCUGGAAACCAAUUCUGAAAUGUGGCAGGGAGCUCUUGUUCCAAGGACGUGUGCCGAGAAGGUUCUAGGAAGGUGGAGAAGCCCCCUCUGCGAUGUGGAUGGCAUCGCAGAAGGUUCCUGAAGCAGCUGUCAGUGAGCCCAGCACCCACAUCGGCAAGAAGCGGUCUUGAUGCAUAGAAACCUACACAGCCUGCUGGGCAGCGAACGCAGCGACCUGGGCAGGAUGAUUUUAAGGGAUUCGAAAAAGCUCCCUUCCCCCAAACCAUCUCCUAUCAGGCUCACAAGUUCAGGAGACCGGCAGGAUUAGAGAUUCUUUCCUCCGAGUAAGACAUCCGCUCCCCAGCGCCUCCAGGGCAUUAUAUGGUAUUGAGCUUUGCAAGACCAAAGUGAAAAACCCAAAACAUCCAAAGGGCAACUGAGGAAGAAAGUAGAUAACAUAUUGAAAAAAAUCUGAGAAAAAGUUCUAGAUUACAUGGCACUGUUGGAAACA